rnacentral:lncRNA from 1 species
ACCACGGCACCUGAGCUUGCCAUCUUUUCCUGCUCUAUCUCACUCAUUUGUCCCGUAGCUACUAGCUAAGCCACCAUAUCAUCCAUGGCUUCUGGUGCCUCCACCACGCUGAAGAUGGCCUCUAUCGCCGCUUGCAUCCUGCUGGUCCUGCUGUCCAAUGGCCACCCUACCGCGGCGGCCGUUGAUUGUAUUGCGGCUUGCAAAGAACCGUGCCAGGGUUUUUCUAACGGGCUCUGCGCGGGUGGAGCCACCAGCGGUUGUACGACUACGGCAGCAGCUACAGCAUGCCGCAAUUUGGCGUUCUCGCAGUGUGCGAACACCUGCUUCACAGUUUGCACUGCUGUGAGCAUCGCGCCUUGCACUUGAAGAUGCAUUCGUGUUCCUACUUCCACAUUAUUGUUACUGCAGAAUAAUAUGGGUCAGUGCACACAAGCAUACAUGAUGAGCCACUGUCGUUUUUCCAUUUUGUCAUUUAUUUAUUGAAGGCAAUGUACGUUUUUCCAUUUGAUCAUUUACUUAUUGAAGGCAAUGUACGUGUCUAUCUCCUGUGUGGUUGAGCAUGUCAUCUUGGAAUUCUGUCCAAAGUUUUACAUACCACCUUGUAUUGUUGUGUGUGGGUAUCAAUAUAAUUUAUGAACUAUCUUCCUUUACCAUAGACAUAUCUAUGUUUAUUUGCAAGCGUUAGCUAAAUUUUUCCUUGAUUGUGUAUUAACCCAUACUGAACAGAUCAACUUUCCACUGCAAGAAACUAUUUAAUCUGUGACGAAACAAAAUUGUCACGUAUCACUAAAAAAUCGUCAUAAAGCAAUGCCUGUGAUGAUUUCAGAUAACGUCAUGUAUUGAGCAUCACAGAUUAAAUCGAUGACAUGGAGAGGCUUCACCAUAGUAUUUUGUAUCGACGUUAGACCUAUCGUUUAUUUCCGCUGCUUUUGAACUCUGAACACUACUUUUAUGCAUGUGAACUAUCGGCUUGUAAUAACUUAAUGUGGGACCUGUAAUAAUUUAUCUGGAUUGUUGUAAUCUUUGGACUCGUCUUCGUGCGAGUAUACUUUGUUUCGAUCCGAAACACGUGGUUGCAUCGGGUGAAACCCGACAGACUACCAGUUUAAUUCGAUUAAAGUGUCUAUUCACAUUUAAGGCAAUGUUGAAUAUACUUUAGCCGGGUUAACUUGGAUGGUUCUACCACACUGGCGCAUCCCUGAGGAUUCCUAUCUGCUUGCUCGAUGUCAUCUGUAUCUGGCCCUGUGAUAAGGGUGAAGAGUUCAUUGUCUAGAGACAGGCUUCCAGAACUUUGGGUGAUGACUUAUGUAGAGUCAUGAAGCGUGAUUCGUUGUCCUGGGCGAGGGCAGGUAGCCUCAUGCCAGGCCAGUAGAUGAAUCUGCCUUGAGGGGUUGAGGUGAUCACCAGGCCCUGCUGCGAACCUGUUAGUGGAGUCUCCUCGUCGGAAUCCAAGUAGUGAUCGUAGUUGUGGUCCUUAAUCGGACAUGAGUUAGAUUGCAACCCGGAUAAGGCUGCUUGAUAGGUGGAAGCUGCGUUACGGAGUCCGAAUGGGAGUUUGCUCGGAAUUUGACUUGAUUCGGACGAUGCAGAACCCGAUGGGAUAACCUACUGGGGUAUUACGUCAAUAGAUCAACCAAAAGAAUGCGCAAUAAUAUCUACCACCAAAGGCAACCCAAAAGCAUUAUCUACCUUCAGUGCCAGAUCAGUCAUCAACAAAGAUCUAUGGAGACCUUGUUUUCUCUUGCUUUGGAUUUGGAGAUAGCAUAGAACAAAAGCCUUGAACCUAAAUAAACAAAGAAAAAAAGUACUGCAGUGCUAAAAAUAAGAAAUACCUCGUAGAAAAAUACCAGUAAUGGGUUUAUGGGUUCCCACUCAUCCUUGGGUAGCCACUUCUCUAGAGAGAUUCUUGUGUGUUCCGGUGUUGUAGUUUUCUGCGCAUGAUACAUAGCAACAUAAGGGCUAUUCCCCAACCUCAUAAUCGAUAGUAAUGUACAUCUUCUGGAAAGGACCUCUUUCUGUUGCAAGUGUGACUGCCACGCUCAUGCCAUUAAAGAAGUUAGCAGUUCGGUUAGGCAAUUAGUUGCCCACAGGAGGAAAGUAAAGCAACCGUGGAGAGUGAAGAGGCGUCUUUCUAGCUCCAGCACCAAGCACACCACACCAGUCAUCAGCUAAUCUGAUGACAUGGCAGGAAAUUUAAGAGGGGAGAGAAGGAAUUAGUUUCAUCUAGAUGAAAUUCUUCUCGCACAAAACCAACUCUGAAUGUGUCAUGAAAUUAAAUGUACCCCAUGCCGCUUUUUAUGCGCUCUUAUUAAUGUUGCUUUGUCUAAGUUCAAUACACUUAUCAAGACUAUCGCAUUUGGUGACUGGCAGUCCACCUAAGGGUACCAAGAUGGUUGAUUUGUAAACAGAGAGGAUCACAAGACCAUGAACUACUUGAUGGUAAUGCAAGGCACAAGACAUAGAGAUUUAUACAUGUUCGAGCCGUUAGUGUAGCGUAAUACCCUACGUCCUGUUUUGGGGGAUUGUAUUGCGCUCUGCACUUGGGUGUUGGUUGUUAAGUUGAGGGAUUGGCCGUCCUCCUAGGGGUACCCCUACGUACCCUUAUAUACUCCCCUAAUAACUCUUCUUAAUAGGAUAGAUUACCAAGUAGAAUUAAUUAUGCAUGCACGCUUGCAGUAAUUGUCGCACCUAUUAGCCUUCCUUAUUUAGCGAGACUUCCUCGGGCAUCGAUGGUGUGCCGUUUCUAUAGUGAACGGUAAUGAAUGUGGACACUUUUAUGAGUGCUGACAUGAAAGGUUCAAUUUGUAUGAAUGAUCUUCUAUAGGUACACUAACCGCGCUUAGGUUACGUUAACAAAAGGUUAGAGAAUUGACUAGUUAUUAUAGGAAGAGCCGUAAACUGUUGCCUCGCCACCAGCACUAACCCCGUAAGUCCAAGUAAUUGGCAGUUUUUUCAUUUGUGAGGACGCAUAGGUCAUGCAUGCAUCAUGUUAAAAACUUGCAAAUUGGAAAUUGGAACAACUUUCCUAUAGAUGAUUGGGAGGACUAAUGUCACUCUCAAAAAAAAUUUUGCCAAAUCACCUAAGGAUUUUCUAGUUGUCUCGAACUGCAGCUAACUACUGUCAGAAUUUUUUUUCUCCGAGCUCUUAAAUGGUCUUGGUUCCAGAAUUUAGUAAAUGAUAUGCUGUAAAAAUUUCAUAAAUUUUGGUCAAGUGAAACUCGAGUUAUGCUUCAAUAAAUUCCCGGGUUGACUCGUACCCAAAGGAGGAAGUUGCAGAGGUUAAGGCUGCAGGAGAAGAGGGAACAGAAGCUGGAGAAGCGAAGGAAUGAGGCAUUCAACACGAAUAGACCCAUAGUCCCUCAGAAGAAGGAGUGGAGAGUUAAGGCCGAUACUCCCAACUCCACCAGUCAGACCUGCAGAAGGACCGGUCGGACCUAGUGCGGUCGGCACGGUCAGGGCGGUCACUGGCGCAGUCGUCGUGGUUGAUGACUCGGUCGGCGCGGUCGUCGGCGCAGUCAGACCGGUCGAGGGGUCGGCGAGGAGCGGCAGCGGGGUGACAAAGUAACUGCGAGCGCGGCGGGGCGGAGCUUGAGCGGCGGAGGCGGAUGGGAGGGGUGGAGGUGGCGGUGGAUGUGGAGGGGAGGUAGCGGAGGGGGAGGAGGAGGAGGAGGCAGAGGAGGCCGGCGGUGGGCGGAGGAGGUGGAGGAGGGUGAGGAGGAGGAGGAGGCGGAGGGAGGUCAGGGCUGGCGGGGGAAUUUUCUUUUUUUAAGAACGUUUAGCCUUAUUAUCACCUAGCGGAGGCGGAUGGAGUUCCACAACAUGGUGUAUCGGACGGGCAUUUCAUUGAAGUCCCUAGGGGCGUCCAAUGGGUGGCUGUAGUGGGUGUACAUCACGACGAGCGUCUGUAGCCAUUGCGACAGCCUAGAGCACGACAACGAGGCGGAAGACCCCGUCACGGGUGCAGAUGGCCAGCGUUUUUUUAAAAAAAAACUUACAGGUGGCCAGUGUGGUGGGCGUGAUUGGGCUUAUCACCAGUGGCGGAGGAGGCGGACGCACGAAGCGACAGGAAUGGCGCCGAGUUUGGUCGAACCAUCUGGAAACUAGAGUUGUAACGCUUGCACUGGACGGCUGAGAUUUACGAUGCUCGAUAUCUGACAGGCGAAAAAGGGAGAGACUUGGCCCAAUCAUUGCAGAGAAACUUCACCGGAGUUAGGUCUUUAAAGAAGAUUGUAAGGCCUGAUUGGUUUGGGGAUCAAAAUGUAUCAAACCAAAAUCAGGGUAAGCCUAAUAAUUUUGGCAGCUGUGUAUAUUUAGAUGCAUAUAAACAUUUAUAAACCUAAAAAAUUAAAACGACCUGCAAUUAAAAAUGGAGGGGUAAAAAAGAAGGCCCCGACAAACGCGUCAGCACAUUCCUGCCUUUCUCCCCCGAAUGAGUAAACUCCAAUCCAAAAUUUGACUGUAUUUUGUUAACGGUUAUAUAUCAUAAGUUUCAUAACAAUAACCAGCUAGGGCUAAUGAUGAUAUGAAUUUGGCCACAAUUUUUGUUCUUGGGAGGUAUCUGUGAGGUGAGAAAAUGGGCAACAUGUGUGGAAAAUGCUAAUACGCCUACUGUGUGGCAUAUUUUGCGUUGUAUCAUAUACUUUCCGGAACAGUUGUAAUUACCACAUCUUUUUUCCCCAGCGGAGUCGCCAAAAUGUGUUGGCGCCUUUUCCGACCAACACAUGAGUGCGCUAGCUCGCGUGUAGAUUGGAAUUCUCCUCGUUGAAGCUCCUGCACCUGGCCGGUCAGAUCGGUCAGGGGGUCCGAUCGGGCCGGUCCUCGUAGGGGCACCAUGAAAACCUACGUCCACCACCUCGGGAGGGACCCUUUCGGAGAUGGCGAACCUAGGGUUGCUCUGAGAUCGGCAGGCCAAUUUAAACGUUCUCAAACGCCGCCGGGACAAAAGAUGAAAGCAAGUGGGUUGGAAAAGCUAAGGUUUUGAGAUAAAAGGGUAAAAAGAUAUGUUUGACGAUUAGGUGAUGCCCCUCAAUCCAACUUACCAAUAUUGAUACAAGAUAUGCUCAACUUGUGAACUUAACUGAGGUAUAUGCUUCCUAUGUUCGUCCGUUCCAGUAAUUGUCUAAGGCAACGCGAAAUCCAGUUACUGUGGGCUAAUAACAACCUAUCUGUUGGUGUUUCUUGGUGUCUAUGGGUGUGCUUCUGAUUUGCAUGCUUUUUUUGUUUGUUGUGUGAUGAAAUAAGGCACUAUGUACAUCUUUGCUUAUUAUUUCCCACUGAUAUAUGGGUACGGACGUGUAAUCAUUAAUUGUGCUAUUCAUUCAGCUGACGACAGUCAGUUGACAUCACUUGAAAGUAUGCUUGAAUUCGUAAGGUGUCCCGUGCAAGUAGCGUGGCUACAACCGCAGCAAUAUUUUUUUCUGAUCAAAAUCGAUCGUCCUUUUUUGUUGAAAACAUAAGUAUGAUAUACUUCACGUGAUGUUAGACUUGAAAAUUUUUGAGUGCAAUAUAUGAGUAAGUAUUCAAUACUAACAUUUUUUCUCUAAACAUUAACUACCAACAUAGCUUAUCAGAUAAUGCAGCAUUGUUUAUCCGACAUGCAUAACCUCCUAACACUCAGACACUGAGACACACCAUCCAUUACCGUCACUGAAUCUAUGUCAGCGUGCUGAGCCAGGGUUAGGAACCUCCACUAACUCGUUAGAGGCAAACCCAAGAUCUAGACUGCUUCUGCUUAAUUCCAUCACUAGCUUAAUCCACUAUGAAAUGUAAAUGCACAACACUCUUAGCAAUUCGCUCAUAAGAUUCUUGAAUUUGGCAAAUUUUUGGUGCAAUCUUCACUGCGAGAAAAACGACCUUUUGUCCAACAUAUUAGUACCGGCCACAUUUCAACCCGUACUAAUACCAACAUUAGUAUCGGAUCCAAUUUAGUAGCCACCGGAGACCUUUUAGUACCAGGUCAUAACACCACCCAAUACUAAAAUGUUGAAGAUAGGUUGCCAAUGGUGAGGUGGAGCGUGGGGUCGAUGACGGUAAUAGCGGCGGGGAACUUCAACCCCCAGCCGAAGGGGCCAUGGCAGGUGGCAGGGAGAGGUUGAGGCUGUAGAGGAGAGGGUGUUUGAGCUUUGGGGGUGGCGAUUUGGAUUUGUUGAAGGAUAGCGGUGGGAUUUGCUGCUCAUUGUGGUUCAGGUGGAGGAACAAAGUAGAAAGAAAGAGACGAAAAUGUGGCCAACACUUUCAAGGAAAAGCAUGAGGUGACAUGGAGGAAUGCAUGAGCGAGGGUGUGGAUAGGCAACCCUUGAAAUGGAUUUCCAAGGACGGAUCACGGGAUGAACCAUCCCUGGAAAUGGGGCUAUUUUUAGGAGCGGAGGGAAACAUGGCCUGCAUCUAUAAAUAAGUAUUUUUAGGGGUAGGUCUUGUUUCUGUUCGUUCUAGGAAAUGUACAUUUCUAGGGGUACCCCACCCCAUAAUUGUAACACCUGGUUUUAAAACAAAACCAAGUGUUACCUAUAUGUAUGCCAGGAUCUAGUUUCAUAUAUAUAGUGAUAUCAUCAGUGAAUAAUAGUAACAAUAUCACGUAAAAAAAUAUAAAUAAUGACUUACGAGUCUAUCAGAGAUAUACAACUUAAUCAUGGAAAUCAAGGCUCCAAACUUCACAAGCAAUCGACUGUGGGUUGCGUACAUCUAGAACUCAGCAUCAUCUUGAGAAAACAUCACACACCUUCUUCUGAGCAGCAGUAAGUAAGGGUGAGUACACUUAUGGUUGGUACUCAGCAAAACCAUAUUGUGCCAAUCAUGCACUCAUCACACUACCGAGGUGUGACUACAUAGGGACACUACAAGAUCUUUACAAAGAUUCCCUAAUAAGUGGUAACCCGCUAAGGUUUCAUGUCGAAGUAGAGCAUAAACCUCUCUCAAGAUUGCGAAGCUAACAUAGAGCAGAUCAGACUGAGGGUCGGGUUACACCUCAUCAACGCCUCCCCUCUUGUCCUUUCGGUAAGAUUACCUCAAGCUGGAGUCUCUAAUUAAUUAGCCAAGACCAGAGCCAUAUAGUCCUUGUAGUUGCACUAUUUUCCUGGGUGGUUCUUCAUGUUCCAAUUAAUGCAUGGUAUUCUUGUAAAAUAAGAAUAGAUAGAAGGAUGGUUAAGGACACCUACCUUUAUCCAACGAAAAGUUACUCUUACUGCUCUUUAGCUCUUGCUCUCUUGAAACUCUUAAUCUUCAAAUCUUUUGAACAACUAUCCUUCUAUUUGAAGAAAUCAUCGGCACAAACAUAUAAGCAAACAAAAAAAGUACAAUUAAGAACAAUACACCAAAACAAAAAAAAUCUUGAAAAGAGUAUAAAGGAUAUGGCUCAAUUCUAAGAUCGCGAGGAUGUAAGAAACGCUUAAAACCAAACUAAGGUUGAAAAGACAAAGCUAUUGAGAGAUUUGAAUUAUAAAAGAAAAAGAAAAGCCUACGUGCUUCAUAUAUUUUAAUAAAGAAAACAAUGUAAAGAUAUUUUAGAGAAAAAUCCUUAUCAAGUUAUAUUUAUAUAUGAAAAGAUCAAGGUAGAACUUCGUCAAAUUUUUAUUUAUAAACAUUAAAGUACAAUUUAGGCAAAUUAAACAUUUAAUUUGAAAAUAAAGUAAGAGCCGCAAGACUCAAGGAACAAGCUAAACCAUUCAGUGGAUCUUCGGGGGUCUAGAUGCAAAAAGCUCAGAGCUUUCUUCCUCAUGGCCGACGGUAGCUUGUACUGCCAUGAACGCCGCCAUGCAUACCGCUCAACCAGCCGCCGGCGCCAUAGAUGGUGGCAUUCCGGUUCUUUCCCCAGUGUGGCAGGCCGCCGUACUUGCCCAUUGCCAUCUGCAUCUUGAUCUCGUCCACGACGUCCAAGUUUUGCACUGCACCAUGGACAAAAUAGUGCCCAUUAUCGUGCAGGGUUUUCCAUGUGAAUUGGCCCAAGGUACAUUCAACUUAUUUUGGCUGGCUUGGUCCCAUAGUUUGAACCCAGAUUUUGGAUCUUUCCGCAUUUAAAUUGGUGCUGCUGCUGCAUUUAUUUGAUAAUGGUGCAAGAUAUGGAACCAUACAACAAAGGUAACUCAUCAUUAAUUUAGAAGGGUGCACAGAUUCAUGUAAUAAAUAAUCUACACCACCUAAGAUGUGUCUCUACCUCUAUAUAAACAAGAGCAAUCAAAGCAAUAUGUGCAUACUGGAACAAAAUAUCUACAGGCAUACCAAUAGUGUUCCUUUUCAUAUGGCAGUGAUCAAGAGCAACGCAGUGAGGUCUAUGUGUGCUGCACUUUGCAUUCUUUUGAUAAUGUCUUCAGCCCUCUCGGAGCUGGUGGAAGUUGUGUAUCUAACUGCUUUUCUACUUCCCAUGGUUUCAUUAUAUUCGUGGGGUUUACUAGGUGCGAUGUGGAUUUCAUGCACAUGAUCACGCUGAGUGUGACCCUAUGGACUGAUGCACUGAUCCGAAAUGCUAGGAUGAAUGUCAGAACAAAAAUACUGACCUACCUAUUGAACCUGAGUGCACCACACCUAAGGAGUGUUGCUGCACAUUUUAUUGGGAGGAAGAUAAUUCACUUCUUUGAAUAGAUUAAAAUGGUUGCCGAUGGCUAGAUUCAUUUCAUGGAUGCAGCCGAUACCAGAAUACUACGCUUGCAUGUAAUGCAUCCAUAAUAUGUUUCUACCCAAAUCUAAUAAAAUAAAUGUGUCCCAUUUGUCCUCUUUUCCUCUAGUGUUUUUUUUACUCCCAAAUUCCAUGCUAAUAAAUGCUGUAUACAUGAUUUUAUUUUAAAAACAUUUCUGAAUACAUUUAAUUUGAUAAGUUCAAACACCGAGUGAGUCUUCUAUCUAUUGUAGGCUUAUGUUUAGUGAAGUGUGCCGGGCCUACUACUUCGGUGUUGGGCUGAGCCCACAUGAGAGCAGCUCCAGCGUUGCUCUUUUGAGGGUGCUCCAAGGAGAGAGAAAAAUAUUCUCCGGCAGCUUCACGCUGGAUCAGAGGGUGCUAGGGAGGUGCUAGGGAGCAGCUGAUGAUGAGUUUUGCACCAGGCGCUACGCAUUCAAUAUAUUUUCUGAAGUAACGUGGUUGGAUGGAUAGGUGAGAUAGUGGGAAGAAAAGCUAGAUCAAUGAUUCUUUAUUCAGCUGGAUCAAUGAUUUCUGAGAUGAGGUACUAAGCAGAUUGAACCGCCACAAGUGCCCUUCUCUUCUUAUCAGCCCGGUGUGCCUUGGUAUUGUCUUCCUGAAUAAUGGCCUUAUUAACCAGAUUACUAGAGCUGUCGUAGUAACAACCAAACGAACUGCAGCUUAGUACCGAGGCCCCUUCUCAAGCAAGCCUACUUUUUAGCAUGACAACUGGCGUACCGAGCAAGUUGAUUAACACUAUUAGCAUAUUGGAACACAGUUUGAUUUCUUUGUUUAAGUGACAUGACCUCUGACGGUUUUCUUUAGGCUGUGGAAAACGGCUCGUACCAACUCUGCCCGUUGAGAUGACCACACCCUGUUUCCAUUACCCCGUUAGGAAUGGAAACACAAACCAUUAUCUUGUACCCUAUCUUAACUCUGAAGUCUUCUUGGAAUAAUUUUCCGAUAAGGGCAGUUUUAUUGAUUUAAUAAAUGUUACAUCACGGUGAUAUAAUAAACUUGAAAUCCUCCCAGCAUGUGCAAGCACAGAGCCUUACAGGCAGAAACAAAUGCAGAUGCGCUAAUGACCAUCAAUCCGAGGACUCCGCCACCCAUGCACUUAGGUAAAAAAAUUCCUCGACCACUUUCACCAAGCACUGAGAUGAGAUGCCGCUGCAACGGAAACAUAUGCCGUAGACUUUUGGAGCAUAGCCCAUGUACGAAGCUAGUGGAUAACUCUAAAGAUAACCUGCAUUGGAUGAGAUAAGGGUUUGUUUUCAAAUACCAUAGCAUUCUUGCAGAGCAACAAUAACAACAUAGUAGCAAUCACCCCAAGUAAAUAAUGCCCGUCAACCAAGUGCCGAAAAUAUUUUCUAGGCUAAGGGGCUUGAGAAAGACUUCAGUUGCAAACAUAUCCGUAUUAUCCUCACUGAAUGGUCAUAAGUGUUUCCCUUCCGUUGCCGACACAAGACCAUCCGACGGCGAAGGGUGACUAACGCCACUAGCUGGUAAACUAAGUAUGCUGGAACUUGUCCACUAAGGUUAGAGUCUAGCUAACUCAGCAUGGGUGCCCAUAUUUCUUAAUUAUGUUUCCGUUGGUUGAUAACAUACCCAUCGGCAUCCUAUCGUCAUGACUUAAUGAAUCCCAAUAUCUUCUAGACUAACGUUUACUUACAUGAGUAGGGUGUGUAUGCAUGUGUGGUUAACAGGUAUUUACUUUAAGGUCGGCUGGGCCGGCUUUCUCGAUGUGUCUAAUUAUGCUUAAGAAAAAGAACCACUAGUGGAAAACUGAGUUUUAGUCCCGGUUGCAGACACGCAUAGAUCUCAAAAAUCCAACCGGAACUAAUCAUUCGGACUGUAAUAAUAAAAUUUGUUUGAAAUUAAAUACAUUGCAUUUAAAUUUUCAUGGGCAUUUAAACCUUUUUCAAAAUAAAUUAAUGAAUCAUAGGAGUUCGUUGUUGCAUUCACGAUGGUGCAUUAUUUUUGGUUGCUUGAAUUCAAAUUUGUGUUUGAAUUCAUCUGUUUGACUCUUUUAAACAAAUAGGAAACCCCUUUUCUUUUCCCUCCCUUUUCUUUUCUUCCUUUCAGCCUGUUUCUUUCUUUGGGCCCACUUCCUUCUCUUUCGCCCAGCAGCAAAACUGAAUAUGCACUUUGAAGAUAAACAUGCGAACCAUCAAAGGGCAGCAGACAACUUACAUACGCGACGGAGCGUUGUAAAUGGCAGAGUAGCCUUGCUGCCACGAUCCACUGAGAUUCAGCCCCACGUCGCACGAAUUCCUCCCUCCCCCCUCCACCCCCGACAACGGCUUCAGGCUUGGACCCGCUACGACGACCAAGGACAAAUGCGCUCAAGGCUUGGGAAGAAAUUAACUUCCAUUGUCGGAACACUUGUUAAGGAUUACAAGAGACCAUAUCGCAAGUUUAUCUUCUUAGGUAUGGUCCACAAUGGAAGAGAGAUCUCCUAACUUGACCAAGCGGAUGUACACACUAUCAUUUGGCACGAAUCAGUCCAAGUCAGAUAGGUGCUAGUGGAGUUCCAUAUUCCACUACGUCCGGUAUGUAACUCAUAAUCGACCACCGGGGAGGGACAUGUGUGGGAUGGAUCGAAGACAAGACAAUGGCCAACAAACGCGUGGACAUACCGGCCACAGGGUACCAUUACGUGUUUGUUGGACCCAACACAUGAAAAUAGGUGCGUUGGCCAUGAAAAUGUUUCCUAUAGGUCACACCUAGUGGCAUCAAAACCAUUUAGUGCCACUAACUGGUUGUGAUGAUUGAUGUCACAAACGGUUCUUUGUGCGUAGCCAGUUUAUAGCUGUAAUUCAAUUGAACCUGUUCUAGUACCUUGAACAACUAGUUCUUGAUGAGUAGCCAGGAGUGACGUUCCAUUUGUAACUAUUUAUUCUCUAUUAGUCUAAUGUUGUGAUAAAUGAUUUGCGUUGUCAGUUUAUGCACUUUGGCAGCCUGGAUGUAUGUCUUUUGAAGUAUGUGUAACUUUCUCUAGAAUUGAGGAACUUUAAUUGACUAAGUGGUCUUGGAUUUACAGCAUCAACCACUAUAAUUAGCCAUUGCUCCAAUGGCACAUUUUUUCCGUUAAUGCUAUAUGAUCCGACACCAAUAUGUGUACAAACAUAAGAGCAUCUGACGAGUAUCAUUUUACGGUGAAGACAUUGGAUCCCCACUCGCACUAACACAUUGCAAAUGCGAAAAGCAGGACCGGGUCUCCCCCCUGCAAUAAAUGCCAUUUUAACUGGUCCUAUAAACUGUUUUCUAGUGGUGUGAUGUAGUCUGUUGGAAUCAGCACCGUGGAACCAUCUGACAUUCAUACAUUAGCUUCACCAAACAAAUAUUCUUCUGUGCAUUAAAGCUUCAUACUUCAACAUGUACAAGUUCUCUAUGUAGGAUAUUUCAGCUUGAAGAUCUUCCCUUUCUUGAACUAGCCAUUUGAGCAUUAUUCAUUCUCAGGCCCAUUGUUCCAACGGCUUGCACGUUCUUGGAAUGUGUUAUCAUGGAAUGCUAGGGGUAUCGAUUCGUAGACAAGAUGGAAUGUCGUCAAGAGCAAAAUAUCUGAAUCCAACUGUGAUAUUGCCUGUUUACAAGACACCAAAAGGGAGUUUUUUUAUGCUAGAUAUAUUAGGAACUUCUAUCUCCCACAGUUAGAUUCUUUCGAUUUCAUCCCAUCUAUUGGCAACUCAGGGGGAACUAUUAUAGUGUGGAAUGGUUCCAAAUUCAAGGGGGAACCUAUCUUUCAAAAUCUUUAUGCCCACUUUGUAGAUUUUCAGUGCAAGCUAUCAGGGGAACGUUGGAUCCUCACGAAUAUCUACGCCCCAUGUACUCCGGAGGGGAAGCUAUCCUUUAUUGACUGGUUCAAAAGGGUUGAAAUACCAGAGGAAAAAAAUUGGCUAAUCCGGGAGGAAAUGUUCAGGAAAUGCUUCUCUUCAAUGAAGCUAUUAGCAGGCUUAAACUCACAGAAAUUCAGCUAAAGGAUGCAAGUACACUUGGUCCAACAAACAGCAGAAUCCUCUUCUGGAGAGGCACGAUUGGUUCUUCAUAUCUAACCCUUGGACCAUCUCCUAUCCCAAUACUUAUACCUCAUCGCUGUCUAGUGACUCCUCAUAUCAUGUUCCUUGUGUAGUCUCGAUCUCUAAUAGCAUUCCAAGGCCACAAGUUUUUAGAUUUGAGAAUUAUUGGCUAGAACAUGAUCGGUUCCCAACCAUUCUCCAACAAGGUUGGGCAACUCCACUUCUAGGCACAGAUAGGGCAAAGAACAUCGGGGCCAAGUUCAAAAACCUGAGGAAGGUUUUCAGGAUCUAGAAAGCAUAGCUCCCCAGUCUGGCGAAAGCAAUCCAGAGCACCAAAGACACCAUUAAACUCCCUGACAUCAUCAAAGAACUUAGAGAUCUUACCCUGCAAGAAUGGAACUUUAGAGAAGUCAUCACAUCACAUCUGAAUAGCUUGCUCCACCAACAAAAAGUCUAUUGGCAGCAAAGAAGCUCCAUCAAUUGGGCCAAAAUGGGGGAUGAAUGUACAAAAUUCUGCCAUGCAAGGGCCUCAGUCAGAAAUAGAAUCAAUUAUAUCACUUCUUUAGUUGAUGCCAAUGGACAAAUUGUCUCUAAACAUGAAGCUAAAGCCAGGAUUCUUUGGGAAGCUUAUAAGGAAAGGAUGGGGAGAUUUGAAUUUACACAUGUACUUUGAUCUUUCUACUAUCUUGACAUCAGAUCCAAAUUUGGAAUGGCUAGAAUCUCCCUUUAUGAAAGCAGAGAUCGACACAAUUACAGGGGAACUUCCAAGUAACAAGUCCCAAGGCCCAGAUGGCUUGAAUGGAGAGUUUCUCAAGAGAUGUUGGGACUUGAUAGCUUAAGAUUUUUAUAGACUGUCUGAAGGUUUUCAUGACAUAAGUGUGUGUGUUCAGAGCAUGAAUGCUUCAUACAUCACACUAAUCCCCAAGAAAGAUUGUCCCUCUCAAGUGGGAGACUUCAGGCCAAUCUCCCUCCUAAACUCAACCAUCAAGCUAAUAACUAAAAUUCUAGCAGAAAGGUUACAACAGGUUAUGUUAAGACUAGUGCAUAAAAAACAGUAUGGUUUCAUAAAGUUUAGAUCCAUACAAGACUGUUUAGCACGGGCUUUUGAAUAUCUUCACAUCUGUAAAGCCUCAAAGAGAGAAUUAAUCAUCAGCAAGCUGGACUUUGAAAAAGCCUUUGAUAGGAUUGAGCACCAAGCCAUUUUGGAUAUCUUAAAACAUAAGGGCUUUGGGGACAGAUGGAUUGGGUGGAUAAAGGACAUUCUCAACACUAGAACAUCUUCAGUACUCCUCAAUGGUGUGCCAGGGAAAGUUUUUCAUUGCAGAAGAGGUGUCAGACAGGGGGAUCCUCUAUCCCCACUUCUAUUUGUGCUAGCAGCGGACCUUUUUCAGUCAAUCCUAAAUAAAGCCAAAGAAGAAGGAAGCUUACACCUACCGAUCCCUGAAAGAGCUGGACCUGACUUCCCAGUUAUACAAUAUGCAGAUGACACCCUUCUGGUCAUGGAAGCAGAUCCUUCCCUGUUGUUGCAUCUCAAGCAUCUGCUUAAUUAGUUUGCGGAGUCAACUGGUCUUAAAGUAAACUACAACAAGACUGUUAUGGUACCUCUGAACACUUCUGAGGAUAAACUUCGACAACUUUCGUCAAUGUUCGAUUGCCAUGUCGGAAGCUUGCCACUCACCUACUUGGGGCUACCACUUGGUGCAACAAAGCCUGACAUUGAGGAAUUCCUUCCAUUAAUACAGAAGGUGGAGCGAAGAUUGGGAGGCAUCUCUAACAUGUUAUCUCAAGGGGGCAAACUCGAACAGGUAAAUUCAGUCUUUUCUUCCUCACCAACAUUUCAUAUGGCAACCUUAAAGCUUCACAAGGGGGUUAUCACACAAUUAGAUAAAUAUAGGAAACACUAUCUCUGCAGAGGAUCUAAUUUGAAUUCUAGGAAACCCUCCAAGGCAGCUUGGCCUAUGGUGUGCCUACCAAAACAGCAAGGAGGACUUGGGGUUAUUAACCUAAACAGUCAAAAUGAUGCCCUUCUUCUCAAGUUCUUACACAAGUUCUUCACUAGAGCUGAUACUCCCUGGGUUCAUUUAUUCUAGGAUAACUAUUAUUCUAAUGGGAAACUGCCUGGACAGCACAAAAAGGGCUCAUUCUGGUGGAGAGAUUUAGUCAAGCUACUGGACAAAUACGAAGGAAUAGUGUCGGCAUGGGUAUCGGAUGGCUCUACUGUAUUGUUCUGCAUGGACACAUGGAUUGAGCAGGUCCUCUACCUGGAAUUCCCCCAGUUAUUCUCUUAUGCCAAAAACAAACUGGUAUCAUAUAAGGAGGCUACAAGCAGAAUAUCACUGUCUCAAAAUUUUCACCUGCCACUUUCAGAAGAAGCUCAUCAGCAGUUGCUGAUUCUGCAGAAUAGAUUGAGGAAUACUGUGAGAGCUCAAGGCAGAGAUAAGUGGACUUACAUUUGGGGAAGGCCCCCGCUUUUCGGUAGCAAAAACUUAUAAAGUCAUAACGGGCACAAGAACCAUACAUCCAAUUCAUAGAUGGAUAUGGAAAUCUAAAUGCCAAAAGAAGCACAAGAUAUUUUUCUAGCUAUUAAUUAAAUUCAGACUGAGCACCAAAGACAUUCUAAGCAGAAAAACAAUGUAUUUGGAUACUUAUACUUGUGUGCUUUGCAUCCUCCAGGAAAAGGAGACAAUGCCGCACUUAUUCCUGAGAUGCAACUUCUCGAAAGCUUGUUGGAGCACUUCCUCCAGGCCACCCUUUCGGAUUUUUAACUCAAUCAAGGAUAAACUGAACGUUCCCUUCUACAUGGAGAUCAUCAUUUUAAUGGCCCGGAGCAUUUGGUCCGUGAGGAAUGACUGGACCUUUCAACAAUGUCCCCCCUCGGUACAGAGCUGCAAAAGGAAAUUCAUGGAAAAAAUGAAUACCGUCUGUCUACAUAGAGCGAAAUCUUCCCUAGCUCUUGCCAUGAUGGAAUGGUUGUAAUCUUUUCUUUCUUUUUUCUUCCUUUGUUGUUGCCUUUUCUACCUUCUACUUCUGUUGUUUCUUGGACUCGCCUUUCAUUUAAUAUAUUUCAGUAGGAGCUUGCCCCUCCUGUUCCUUCAAAAAAAAACUUCGAGCACUUCUCCAUGGGCUUCAUCACCAUAGUUUCGAUUUGGGCAAUUUUAUUGCACCGAACCUUCCAGCUUGCAUUUUCUUAACUGAAUCUCGAGCAUGGGGCAAUAUUCUGGCAUCUACAACGGACCUGCCAUCAAGCAUUCCAAUGUAUAGAUCUAUCCUGUUUGUUUGCCUAAUAUUCGGAUGCAAUACUCCGCCGUGUGUAAAAAAAUCCAAGGCCAACGGACCAUACCGUGUUAACAAUUUUAGUGCCUAAUCCAAUACAAAAUUAGUCCCAGUUUGUACGGCUACUCAUUCAUUGCAGUCUUCAGACGAACUCUACGGUGACACAUUUUUGGAAUACUCUGGCAUGUGCAACUGACCUGCCAUCAAGCACUCCGAUGCAUGGUUCUAUCCUCUUUGGUUGCCUUAUAUUCUGUAAAAAAAAAUAUUCAAGGCCAACAGACCAUACCGUGUUAAAAAUUUUAGUGCCCAAUCCAAUACAAAAUCAGUUCCAGCACCUCCACAGUGAUUAUAUUGUAAUUCAAUCACCAAAAUCCGAAACUAUGGUCUAGUGAAGCUAUACUGUGUACGAAAUAUCAAUUCAUGGGAUUUGUCAACGAUUUUAUGAAGCUGUAUAUAUGAUACCUUCCACUACGGGAUUUGUGUACAAAAUAUUAAUUCAUGAGAUUUGUCCAUGAUUUUAGGAAGCUACAAUAUCUUCAACUACCGGAUUGCGUAUAUAAGAUAAUCUUCACCAGUUAUCACAGGUGGAAGCACGCGUUAAAUAAUAAAUGACUAAUGCUGAUUCAACUCUGAGAUGAAAAGGAUUCUGUUCUCAAGAAUCGAAAAAAAGGUAACGUGCUCAUAACAAUGUCGACUCUUCACAUCUGAGAACUACCUACCGUAUGUUAUUAAAACAUUUUUGCUGCCUAUAAAUUGGGCAUCAUUUCAGCAGGCCACCACGGCACCUGAGCUUGCCAUCUUUUCCUGCUCUAUCUCACUCAUUUGUCCCGUAGCUACUAGCUAAGCCACCAUAUCAUCCAUGGCUUCUGGUGCCUCCACCACGCUGAAGAUGGCCUCUAUCGCCGCUUGCAUCCUGCUGGUCCUGCUGUCCAAUGGCCACCCUACCGCGGCGGCCGUUGAUUGUAUUGCGGCUUGCAAAGAACCGUGCCAGGGUUUUUCUAACGGGCUCUGCGCGGGUGGAGCCACCAGCGGUUGUACGACUACGGCAGCAGCUACAGCAUGCCGCAAUUUGGCGUUCUCGCAGUGUGCGAACACCUGCUUCACAGUUUGCACUGCUGUGAGCAUCGCGCCUUGCACUUGAAGAUGCAUUCGUGUUCCUACUUCCACAUUAUUGUUACUGCAGAAUAAUAUGGGUCAGUGCACACAAGCAUACAUGAUGAGCCACUGUCGUUUUUCCAUUUUGUCAUUUAUUUAUUGAAGGCAAUGUACGUUUUUCCAUUUGAUCAUUUACUUAUUGAAGGCAAUGUACGUGUCUAUCUCCUGUGUGGUUGAGCAUGUCAUCUUGGAAUUCUGUCCAAAGUUUUACAUACCACCUUGUAUUGUUGUGUGUGGGUAUCAAUAUAAUUUAUGAACUAUCUUCCUUUACCAUAGACAUAUCUAUGUUUAUUUGCAAGCGUUAGCUAAAUUUUUCCUUGAUUGUGUAUUAACCCCAACUGAACAGAUCAACUUUCCACUGCAAGAAACUAUUUAAUCUGUGACGAAACAAAAUUGUCACGUAUCACUAAAAAAUCGACAUAAAGCAAUGCCUGUGAUGAUUUCAGAUAACGUCAUGUAUUGAGCAUCACAGAUUAAAUCGAUCGACGUUUUCUUCGAAAUCGUCACAGAUCAACACAAUCUAUGAUGUUUUUUACCUGUCACAAAACACCCUUAGGCCCGUGCAGCAGCCCAGGCCUAGUGUUUGUGACGAAAAUAAACAUAACAGAUGGUUGCCACGUGGCUGGUGACGUGGUUGAUGACGUGGACGAUGACAUGGCUAGUGACGUCAUUGAUGACAUGGCCAGUGACGUCGAUGACAUGGAGAGGCUUCACCAUAGUAUUUUGUAUCGACGUUAGACCUAUCGUUUAUUUCCGCUGCUUUUGAACUCUGAACACUACUUUUAUGCAUGUGAACUAUCGGCUUGUAAUAACUUAAUGUGGGACCUGUAAUAAUUUAUCUGGAUUGUUGUAAUCUUUGGACUCGUCUUCGUGCGAGUAUACUUUGUUUCGAUCCGAAACACGUGGUUGCAUCGGGUGAAACCCGACAGACUACCAGUUUAAUUCGAUUAAAGUGUCUAUUCACAUUUAAGGCAAUGUUGAAUAUACUUUAGCCGGGUUAACUUGGAUGGUUCUACCACACUGGCGCAUCCCUGAGGAUUCCUAUCUGCUUGCUCGAUGUCAUCUGUAUCUGGCCCUGUGAUAAGGGCGAAGAGUUCAUUGUCUAGAGAGAGGCUUCCAGAACUUUGGGUGAUGACUUAUGUAGAGUCAUUGUCUUCAUGGAUAGAAGACAAAGGUGAUCCCUCCUAGUACGGAAGAACGUUGAGAUGGGCCAUGAAGCGUGAUUCGUUGUCCUGGGCGAGGGCAGGUAGCCUCAUGCCAGGCCAGUAGAUGAAUCUGCCUUGAGGGGUUGAGGUGAUCACCAGGCCCUGCUGCGAACCUGUUAGUGGAGUUUCCUCGUCGGAAUCCAAGUAGUGAUCGUAGUUGUGGUCCUUAAUCGGACAUGAGUUAGAUUGCAACCCGGAUAAGGCUGCUUGAUAGGUGGAAGCUGCGUUACAGAGUCCGAAUGGGAGUUUGCUCGGAAUUUGACUUGAUUCGGACGAUGCAGAACCCGACAGGAUAACCUACUGGGGUAUUACGUCAAUAGAUCAACCAAAAGAAUGUGCAAUAAUAUCUACCACCAAAGGCAACCCAAAAGCAUUAUCUACCUUCAGUGCCAGAUCAGUCAUCAACAAAGAUCUAUGGAGACCUUGUUUUCUCUUGCUUUGGAUUUGGAGAUAGCAUAGAACAAAAGCCUUGAACCUAAAUAAACAAAGAAAAAAAGUACUGCAGUGCUAAAAAUAAGAAAUACCUCGUAGAAAAAUACCAGUAAUGGGUUUAUGGGUUCCCACUCAUCCUUGGGUAGCCACUUCUCUAGAGAGAUUCUUGUGUGUUCCGGUGUUGUAGUUUUCUGCGCAUGAUACAUACCAACAUAAGGGCUAUUCCCCAACCUCAUAAUCGAUAGUAAUGUACAUCUUCUGGAAAGGACCUCUUUCUGUUGCAAGUGUGACUGCCACGCUCAUGCCAUUAAAGAAGUUAGCAGUUCGGUUAGGCAAUUAGUUGCCCACAGGAGGAAAGUAAAGCAACCGUGGAGAGUGAAGAGGCGUCUUUCUAGCUCCAGCACCAAGCACACCACACCAGUCAUCAGCUAAUCUGAUGACAUGGCAGGAAAUUUAAGAGGGGAGAGAAGGAAUUAGUUUCAUCUAGAUGAAAUUCUUCUCGCACAAAACCAACUCUGAAUGUGUCAUGAAAUUAAAUGUACCCCAUGCCGCUUUUUAUGCGCUCUUAUUAAUGUUGCUUUGUCUAAGUUCAAUACACUUAUCAAGACUAUCGCAUUUGGUGACUGGCAGUCCACCUAAGGGUACCAAGAUGGUUGAUUUGUAAACAGAGAGGAUCACAAGACCAUGAACUACUUGAUGGUAAUGCAAGGCACAAGACAUAGAGAUUUAUACAUGUUCGAGCCGUUAGUGUAGCGUAAUACCCUACGUCCUGUUUUGGGGGAUUGUAUUGCGCUCUGCACUUGGGUGUUGGUUGUUAAGUUGAGGGAUUGGCCGUCCUCCUAGGGGUACCCCUACGUACCCUUAUAUACUCCCCUAAUAACUCUUCUUAAUAGGAUAGAUUACCAAGUAGAAUUAAUUAUGCAUGCACGCUUGCAGUAAUUGUCGCACCUAUUAGCCUUCCUUAUUUAGCGAGACUUCCUCGGGCAUCGAUGGUGUGCCGUUUCUAUAGUGAACGGUAAUGAAUGUGGACACUUUUAUGAGUGCUGACAUGAAAGGUUCAAUUUGUAUGAAUGAUCUUCUAUAGGUACACUAACCGCGCUUAGGUUACGUUAACAAAAGGUUAGAGAAUUGACUAGUUAUUAUAGGAAGAGCCGUAAACUGUUGCCUCGCCACCAGCACUAACCCCGUAAGUCCAAGUAAUUGGCAGUUUUUUCAUUUGUGAGGACGCAUAGGUCAUGCAUGCAUCAUGUUAAAAACUUGCAAAUUAGAAAUUGGAACAACUUUCCUAUAGAUGAUUGGGAGGACUAAUGUCACUCUCAAAAAAAAUUUUGCCAAAUCACCUAAGGAUUUUCUAGUUGUCUCGAACUGCAGCUAACUACUGUCAGAAAUUUUUUUCUCCGAGCUCUUAAAUGGUCUUGGUUCCAGAAUUUAGUAAAUGAUAUGCUGUAAAAGUUUCAUAAAUUUUGGUCAAGUGAAACUCGAGUUAUGCUUCAAUAAAUUCCCGGGUUGACUCGUACCCAAAGGAGGAAGUUGCAGAGGUUAAGGCUGCAGGAGAAGAGGGAACAGAAGCUGGAGAAGCGAAGGAAUGAGGCAUUCAACACGAAUAGACCCAUAGUCCCUCAGAAGAAGGAGUGGAGAGUUAAGGCCGAUACCCCCAACUCCACCAGUCAGACCGGCAGAAGGACCGGUCGGACCUAGUGCGGUCGGCACGGUCGGGGCGGUCACUGGCACAGUCGGCGUGGUUGAUGAUUCGGUCGGCGCGGUUGUCGGCGCAGUCAGACCGGUUGGGGGGUCAGCGAGGAGCGACGGCGGGGCAACAAAGUAACCGUGAGCGUGGCGGGGCGGAGCUUGAGCGGCGGAGGCGGAUGGGAGGGGUGGAGGCGGCGGUGGAUGUGGAGGGGAGGUAGCGGAGGGGGAGGAGGAUGAGGAGGCAGAGGAGGUCGGCGGUGGGCGGAGGAGGUGGAGGAGGGUGAGGAGGAGGAGGAGGCGGAGGGAGGUCAGGGCUGGCGGGGGGAUUUUCUUUUUUUAAGAACGUUCAGCUUUAUUAUCACCUAGCGGAGGCAGAUGGAGUUCCACAACAUGGUGUAUCGGAUGGGCAUUUCAUUGAAGUCCCUAGGGGCGUCCAAUGGGCGGCUGUAGUGGGUGUACAUCAGGACGAGCGUCUGUAGCCAUUGCGACAGCCUAGAGCACGACAACGAGGCAGAAGACCCCAUCACGGGUGCAGAUGGCCAGCGUUUUUUUAAAAAAAACUUACAGGUGGCCAGUGUGGUGGGCGUGAUUGGGCUUAUCACCAGUGGCGGAGGAGGCGGACGCACGAAGUGACGGGAAUGGCGCCGAGUUUGGUCGAACCAUCUGGAAACCAGAGUUGCAACGCUUGCACUGGACGGCUGAGAUUUACGAUGCUCGAUAUCUGACGGGCGAAAAAGGGAGAGACUUGGCCCAAUCACUGCAGAGAAACUUCACCGGAUUUAGGUCUUUAAAGAAGAUUGUAAGGCCUGAUUGGUUGGGGGAUCAAAAUGUAUCAAACCAAAAUCAGGGUAAGCCUAAUAAUUUUGGCAGCUGUGUAUAUUUAGAUGCAUAUAAACAUUUAUAAACCUAAAAAAUUAAAACGACCUGCAAUUAAAACUCGAGGGGUAAAAAAGAAGGCCCUGACAAACGCGUCAGCACAUUCCUGCCUUUCUCCCCCGAAUGAGUAAACUCCAAUCCAAAAUUUGACUGUAUUUUGUUAACGGUUAUAUUUCAUAAGUUUCAUAACAAUAACCAGCUAGGGCUAAUGAUGAAAUGAAAUUGGCCACAAUUUUUGUUCUUGGGAGGUAUCUGUGAGGUGAGAAAAUGGGCAACAUGUGUGGAAAAUGCUAAUACGCCUACCGUGUGGCAUAUUUUGCGUUGUAUCAUAUACUUUCCGGAACAGUUGUAAUUGCCACAUCUUUUUUUCCCAGCAGAGUUGCCAAAAUGUGUUGGCGCCUUUUCCGACCAACACAUGAGUGCGCUAGCUUGCGUGUAGAUUGGAAAUCUCCUCGUUGAAGCUCCUGCACCUGGCCGGUCAGAUCGGUCAGGGGGUCCGAUCGGGCCGGUCGUCGUAGGGGCACCGUGAAAACCUACGUCCACCACCUCGGGAGGGACCCUAUCGGAGAUGGCGAACCUAGGGUUGCUCUGAGAUCGGCAGGCCACUUUAAACGUUCUCAAACACCGCCGGGACAAAAGAGGAAAGCAAGUGGGUUGGAAAAGCUAAGGUUUUGAGAUAAAAGGGUAAAAAGAUAUGUUUGACGAUUGGGUGAUACCCCUCAAUCCAACUUACCAAUACUGAUACAAGAUAUGCUCAACUUGUGAACUUAACUGAGGUAUAUGCUUUCUAUGUUCGUCCAUUCCAGCAAUUGUCUAAGGCAACGCGAAAUCCAGUUACUGUGGGCUAAUAACAACCUAUCUGUUGGUGUUUCUUGGUGUCUAUGGGUGUGCUUCUGAUUUGCAUGCUUUUUUUGUUUGUUGUGUGAUGAAAUAAGGCACUAUGUACAUCUUUGCUUAUUAUUUCCCACUGAUAUAUGGGUACGGACGUGUAAUCAUUAAUUGUGCUAUUCAUUCAGCUGACGACAGUCAGUUGACAUCACUUGAAAGUAUGCUUGAAUUCGUAAGGUGUCCCGUGCAAGUAGCGUGGCUACAACCGCGGCAAUAUUUUUUUCUGAUCAAAAUCGAUCGUCCUUUUUUGUUGAAAACAUAAGUAUGAUAUACUUCACGUGAUGUUAGACUUGAAAAUUUUUGAGUGCAAUAUAUGAGUAAGUAUUCAAUACUAACAUUUUUUCUCUAAACAUUAACUACCAACAUAGCUUAUCAGAUAAUGCAGCAUUGUUUAUCCGACAUGCAUAACCACCUAACACUCAGACACUGAGACACACCAUCCAUUACCGUCACUGAAUCUAUGUCAGCGUGCUGAGCCAGGGUUAGGAACCUCCACUAACUCGUUAGAGGCAAACCCAAGAUCUAGACUGCUUCUGCUUAAUUCCAUCACUAGCUUAAUCCACUAUGAAAUGUAAAUGCACAACACUCUUAGCAAUUCGCUCAUAAGAUUCUUGAAUUUGGCAAAUUUUUGGUGCAAUCUUCACUGCGAGAAAAACGACCUUUUGUCCAACAUAUUAGUACCGGCCACAUUUCAACCCGUACUAAUACCAACAUUAGUAUCGGAUCCAAUUUAGUAGCCACCGGAGACCUUUUAGUACCAGGUCAUAACACCACCCAAUACUAAAAUGUUGAAGAUAGGUUGCCAAUGGUGAGGUGGAGCGUGGGGUCGAUGACGGUAAUAGCGGCGGGGAACUUCAACCCCCAGCCGAAGGGGCCAUGGCAGGUGGCAGGGAGAGGUUGAGGCUGUAGAGGAGAGGGUGUUUGAGCUUUGGGGGUGGCGAUUUGGAUUUGUUGAAGGAUAGCGGUGGGAUUUGCUGCUCAUUGUGGUUCAGGUGGAGGAACAAAGUAGAAAGAAAGAGACGAAAAUGUGGCCAACACUUUCAAGGAAAAGCAUGAGGUGAGAUGGAGGAAUGCAUGAGUGAGGGUGUGGAUAGGCAACCCUUGAAAUGGAUUUCCAAGGACGGAUCACGGGAUGAACCAUCCCUGGAAAUGGGGCUAUUUUUAGGAGCGGAGGGAAACAUGGCCUGCAUCUAUAAAUAAGUAUUUUUAGGGGUAGGUCUUGUUUCUGUUCGUUCUAGGAAAUGUAUAUUUCUAGGGGUACCCCACCCCAUAAUUGUAACACCUGCUUUUAAAACAAAACCAAGUGUUACCUAUAUGUAUGCCAGGAUCUAGUUUCAUAUAUAUAGUGAUAUCAUCAGUGAAUAAUAGUAACAAUAUCACGUAAAAAAAUAUAAAUAAUGACUUACGAGUGUAUCAGAGAUAUACAACUUAAUCAUGGAAAUCAAGGCUCCAAACUUCACAAGCAAUCGACUGUGGGUUGCGUAUGUCUAGAACUCAGCAUCAUCUUGAGAAAACAUCACACACCUUCUUCUGAGCAGCAGUAAGUAAGGGUGAGUACACUUAUGGUUGGUACUCAGCAAAACCAUAUUGUGCCAAUCAGGCACUCAUCACACUACCGAGGUGUGACUACAUAGGGACACUACGAGACCUUUACAAAGAUUCCCUAAUAAGUGGUAACCUGCUAAGGUUUCAUGUCGAAGUAGAGCAUAAACCUCUCUCAAGAUUGCGAAGCUAACAUAGAGCAGAUCAGACUGAGGGACGGGUUAUACCUCAUCAACGCCUCCCCUCUUGUCCUUUCGGUAAGAUUACCUCAAGCUGGAGUCUCUAAUUAAUUAGCCAAGACCAGAGCCAUAUAGUCCUUGUAGUUGCACUAUUUUCCUGGGUGGUUCUUCAUGUUCCAAUUAAUGCAUGGUAUUCUUGUAAAAUAAGAAUAGAUAGAAGGAUGGUUAAGGACACCUACCUUUAUCCAACGAAAAGUUACUCUUACUGCUCUUUAGCUCUUGCUCUCUUGAAACUCUUAAUCUUCAAAUCUUUUGAACAACUAUCCUUCUAUUUGAAGAAAUCAUCGGCACAAACAUAUAAGCAAACAAAAAAAGUACAAUUAAGAACAAUACACCAAAACAAAAAAAAGCUUGAAAAGAGUAUAAAGGAUAUGGCUCAAUUCUAAGAUCGCGAGGAUGUAAGAAACGCUUAAAACCAAACUAAGGUUGAAAAGACAAAGCUAUUGAGAGAUUUGAAUUAUAAAAGAAAAAGAAAAGCCUACGUGCUUCAUAUAUUUUAAUAAAGAAAACAAUGUAAAGAUAUUUUAGAGAAAAAUCCUUAUCAAGUUAUAUUUAUAUAUGAAAAGAUCAAGGUAGAACUUCAUCAAAUUUUUAUUUAUAAACAUUAAAGUACAAUUUAGGCAAAUUAAACAUUUAAUUUGAAAAUAAAGUAAGAGCCGCAAGACUCAAGGAACAAGCUAAACCAUUCAGUGGAUCUUCGGGGGUCUAGAUGCAAAAAGCUCAGAGCUUUCUUCCUCAUGGCCGACGGUAGCUUGUACAGCCAAAUCACUGGCGCUACGGCGGCUGGGGUCUCCAGCGGACGGCACAGGAGGUGGAGGAGGUCCAGGGGAUCUAGUGGAGGCUCUUACCGGUGGGGGAGGUGAAGGGGGGCGGCCGAAAUUCGGAGGCGACAAUGACCGCAGCGGUGGCUCGAGCUCCGCGCGGUGGCAACGCUCCGGUGAUGGAGGGGCGUCGAGGGCUGGCGUCAGUUCUUCAUCUUGGAAGGAAAAUAAUUUCCCGUGGAAGGAAAAUCCAGAUAAAUCAAGAUAAUUCAAUAAAAGCUACAAAAAAUACUCUAAAAAUUCCCAAAAAUUUUAGGAAAAAUCCUAGUCGUAGAUUGGGACAUGAGGAAUCCAAAUAAAAUACUUGGAGCCCAUGAAAAAGGAAUUAGAGCCUUCUACUAAAUAGAUUUAUUUCUAGGAAAAUGAGAAUAAAUACCAGAAAGAUCUGGAAAAUUCUCAGGAGAAUUUGGUCGUCGUCUAAAUGCAUUUUUGAAACUUUUUCACUCAUGAAAUACUAUAAUGCAUCGGCAGGAAUGCAAAACACGUAGAAACAUUUUAUUUCUUUCAAAAUCAAUGAAUUGUUUUUCCUAUACUACAUUUCCUGUCAAAAAAAUAAAUGUUGAAAUUUUUUUAAAAUUAUGAGAAAAUCAUUGUUUAAUUAUUAUUUUUAUUUAAUCACAUCCUAAAAUCUAAAAAUUUCAGGGUGUGAAUAAUCCACCCCUAUAAAUCCAUUUUUAGAGGUGGAUGAAUUGCUACAGUAACACCUAUUUUUGGUUGGGGGGCUUCUCAUCCAGCCAAAAAAAUCAAGUGGCACCUAAAAAUCAUUUUUUAGUAGUGAUCGUACACGCGCUUCACUGCCAUGAACGCCGCCAUGCAUACCGCUCAACCAGCCGCCGGCGCCAUAGAUGGUGGCAUUCCGGUUCUUUCCCCAGUGUGGCAGGCCGCCGUACUUGCCCAUUGCCAUCUGCAUCUUGAUCUCGUCCACGACCUCCAAGUUUUGCACUGCACUAUGGACAAAAUAGUGCCCAUUAUCGUGCAGGGUUUUCCAUGUGAAUUGGCCCAAGGUACAUUCAACUUAUUUUGGCUGGCUUGGUCCCACAGUUUGAACCCAGAUUUUGGAUCUUUCCGCAUUUAAAUUGGUGCUGCUGCUGCAUUUAUUUGAUAAUGGUGCAAGAUAUGGAACCAUACAACAAAGGUAACUCAUCAUUAAUUUAGAAGGGUGCACAGAUUCAUGUAAUAAAUAAUCUACACCACCUAAGAUGUGUCUCUACCUCUAUAUAAACAAGAGCAAUCAAAGCAAUAUGUGCAUACUGGAACAAAAUAUCUACAGGCAUACCAAUAGUGUUCCUUUUCAUAUGGCAGUGAUCAAGAGCAGCGCAGUGAGGUCCAUGUGUGCUGCACUUUGCAUUCUUUUGAUAAUGUCUUCAGCCCUCUCAGAGCUGGUGGAAGUUGUGUAUCUAACUGCUUUUCUACUUCCCAUGGUUUCAUUAUAUUCGUGGGGUUUACUAGGUGCGAUGUGGAUUUCAUGCACAUGAUCACGCUGAGUGUGACCCUAUGGACUGAUGCACUGAUCCGAAAUGCGAGGAUGAAUGUCAGAACAAAAAUAUUGACCUACCUAUUGAACCUGAGUGCACCACACCUAAGGAGUGUUGCUGCACAUUUUAUCGGGAGGAAGAUAAUUCACUUCUUUGAAUAGAUUAAAAUGGUUGCCGAUGGCUAGAUUAAUUUCAUGGAUGCAGCCGAUACCAGAAUACUACGCUUGCAUGUAAUGCAUCCAUAAUAUGUUUCUACCCAAAUCUAAUAAAAUAAAUGUGUCCCAUUUGUCCUCUUUUCCUCUAGUGUUUUUUUUACUCCCAAAUUCCAUGCUAAUAAAUGCUGCAUACAUGAUUUUAUUUUAAAAACAUUUCUGAAUACAUUUAAUUUGAUAAGUUCAAACACCGAGUGAGUCUUCUAUCUAUUGUAGGCUUAUGUUUAGUGAAGUGUGCCGGGCCUACUACUUCGGUGUUGGGCUGAGCCCACAUGAGAGCAGCUCCAGCGUUGCUCUUUUGAGGGUGCUCCAAGGAGAGAGAAAAAUAUUCUCCGGCAGCUUCACGCUGGAUCAGAGGGUGCUAGGGAGGUGCUAGGGAGCAGCUGAUGAUGAGUUUUGCACCAGGCGCUACGCAUUCAAUAUAUUUUCUGAAGUAACGUGGUUGGAUGGAUAGUUGAGAUAGUGGGAAGAAAAGCUAGAUCAAUGAUUCUUUAUUCAGCUGGAUCAAUGAUUUCUGAGAUGAGGUACUCAGCAGAUUGAACCGCCACAAGUGCCCUUCUCUUCUUAUCAGCCCGGUGUGCCUUGGUAUUGUCUUCCUGAAUAAUGGCCUUAUUAACCAGAUUACUAGAGCUGUCGUAGUAACAACCAAACGAACUGCAGCUUAGUACCGAGGCCCCUUCUCAAGCAAGCCUACUUUUUAGCAUGACAGCUGGCGUACCGAGCAAGUUGAUUAACACUAUUAGCAUAUUGGAACACAGUUUGAUUUCUUUGUUUAAGUGACAUGACCUCUGACGGUUUUCUUUAGGCUGUGGAAAACGGCUCGUACCAACUCUGCCCGUUGAGAUGACCACACCCUGUUUCCAUUACCCCGUUAGGAAUGGAAACACAAACCAUUAUCUUGUACCCUAUCAUAACUCUGAAGUCUUCUUGGAAUAAUUUUCCGAUAAGGGAAGUUUUAUUGAUUUAAUAAAUGUUACAUCACGGUGAUAUAAUAAACUUGAAAUCCUCCCAGCAUGUGCAAGCACAGAGCCCUACAGGCAGAAACAAAUGCAGAUGCGCUAAUGACCAUCAAUCCGAGGACUCCGCCACCCAUGCACUUAGGUAAAAAAAUUCCUCGACCACUUUCACCAAGCACUGAGAUGAGAUGCCGCUGCAACGGAAACAUAUGCCGUAGACUUUUGGAGCAUAGCCCAUGUACGAAGCUAGUGGAUAACUCUAAAGAUAACCUGCAUUGGAUGAGAUAAGGGUUUGUUUUCAAAUACCAUAGCAUUCUUGCAGAGCAACAAUAACAACAUAGUAGCAAUCACCCCAAGUAAAUAAUGCCCGUCAACCAAGUGCCGAAAAUAUUUUCUAGGCUAAGGGGCUUGAGAAAGACUUCAGUUGCAAACAUAUCCGUAUUAUCCUCACUGAAUGGUCAUAAGUGUUUCCCUUCCGUUGCCGACACAAGACCAUCCGACGGCGAAGGGUGACUAACGCCACUAGCUGGUAAACUAAGUAUGCUGGAAUUUGUCCACUAAGGUUAGAGUCUAGCUAACUCAGCAUAGGUGCCCAUAUUUCUUAAUUAUGUUUCCGUUGGUUGAUAACAUACCCAUCGGCAUCCUAUCGUCAUGACUUAAUGAAUCCCAAUAUCUUCUAGACUAACGUUUACUUACAUGAGUAGGGUGUGUAUGCAUGUGUGGUUAACAGGUAUUUACUUUAAGGUCGGCUGGGCCGGCUUUCUGGAUGUGUCUAAUUAUGCUUAAGAAAAAGAACCACUAGUGGAAAACUGAGUUUUAGUCCCAUAUGCAGACACGCAUAGAUCUCAAAAAUCCAACCGGAACUAAUCAUUCGGACUGUAAUAAUAAAAUUUGUUUGAAAUUAAAUACAUUGCAUUUAAAUUUUCAUGGGCAUUUAAACCUUUUUCAAAAUAAAUUAAUGAAUCAUAGGAGUUCGUUGUUGCAUUCACGAUGGUGCAUUAUUUUUGGUUGCUUGAAUUCAAAUUUGUGUUUGAAUUCAUCUGUUUGACUCUUUUAAACAAAUAGGAAACCCCUUUUCUUUUCCCUCCCUUUUCUUUUCUUCCUUUCAGCCUGUUUCUUUCUUUGGGCCCACUUCCUUCUCUUUCGCCCAGCAGCAAAACUGAAUAUGCACUUUGAAGAUAAACAUGCGAACCAUCAAAGGGCAGCAGACAACUUACAUACACGAAGGAGCGUUGUAAAUGGCAGAGUAGCCUUGCUGCCAUGAUCCACUGAGAUCCAGCCCCACGUCGCACGAAUUCCUCCCUCCCCCCUCCACCCCCGACAACGGCUUCAGGCUCGGACCCGCUAUGACGACCAAGGACAAAUGCGCUCAAGGCUUGGGAAGAAAUUAACUUCCAUUGUCGGAACACUUGUUAAGGAUUACAAGAGACCAUAUCGCAAGUUUAUCUUCUUAGGUAUGGUCCACAAUGGAAGAGAGAUCUCCUAACUUGACCAAGCGGAUGUACACACUAUCAUUUGGCACGAAUCAGGCCAAGUCAGAUAGGUGCUAGUGGAGUUCCAUAUUCCACUACGUCCGGCAUGUAACUCAUAAUCGACCACUGGGGAGGGACAUGUGUGGGAUGGAUCGAAGACAAGACAAUGGCCAACACACGCGUGGACAUACCGGCCACAGGGUACCAUUACGUGUUUGUUGGACCCAACACAUGAAAAUAGCUGCGUUGGCCAUGAAAAUGUUUCCUAUACGUCAUGGGAGCGCGUAAACGGCCACACUGGCCACCGGAGACGAAAACAUGGGCGAUGGACCGAAGAAGGGAAGAUGGCCUCCGGACAUGUGUUCGGCCAUGAAAACGUUUCCUAUAGGUCACAGGAGCGCGAAAAUGGCCUCACCGGCCACCGGGGACGAAAACGUGGGAGAUGGACCGAAUACAUGAAAAUGCCUAACGAAUGUGUGUUCAGCCAUGAAAACGUGUGUUCUAGGUCACGGGAGCCUGAAAACGGCCUCACCAGCUAUCAAGGACGAAAACGUGGGGGAUGGACUGAUUGCAUGAAAAUGCCUAACGAACACGUGUUCGUCCAUGAAAACAUGUGUUAUAGGUCACGGGAGCCUGAAAAUGGCCUCACCGGCUAUCGGGGACAAAAACAUGGGGGAUGGACCGAAUACAUGAAAAUGCCUAACGAACGUGUGUUCGGUCAUGAAAAGGUGUGUUAUAGGUCACGGGAGCUUGAAAAAUAGCCUCACCGGCCUCCGGGUAUGAAAACGUGGGUGAUGGACCGAAUAUGUGAAAAUGCCUAACAAAAGCAUGUUCGGCCAUGAAAAUGCCCAACGAACAUGAGUUUGGCCAUGAACGGGUGAAAACGGCUCAAGAACGGGUGACAACGGACUCCAAAGGGGCUGGGAUGGAGUUUCCGUGUUGGCACCGAGCCCCCUACGUGCCCCCCUGUCAUCUCGGCCUAUCACACAGAUUUCAGGUGACCCCUAGAACUGUGCACCCUGUGGGACAAAAUUCCCCGGAACUUCUGGGUGGGGGGGAUGCCGCACAGGUAUAGUAGGGGGAGCUGGUGCGUCCUCUGGGUGCUUGAGAAAACGAUGUUCAGCCGUAUGAAUAACGUUGGUUUUGACAUGUUUUCGAGGUAUUCGGGGCGUACUCCCCCGGCCGCGGUGCGGCCGGACCGUGGCCGCACCGCAGCUCAUGUGGGAAGGCUUGGGGGCUGGCUACGGCUGGUCACAGUAGGCUGCGGCCGACUGUUGCUGGGCUGCGGGCGCCUGGAAUGUGCUUGCGCUUGCCGUUGGCUGGCCGUGGCCGCCCCAGGCGUGCUGCGGCCGGUCGUUAGCUUACCUUUUGCUGCUCGGGGCAUUCAGUUGCUGGCCGUUGGCAGGCUAAUGCCGUCCCAGGCGGGCUGCGGCCGGCCAUGAUGGAAGGGAUGAGGUUGUGUUUGUUAUAUGCACCGAAAUUGUUCAUUCUCAUGCUCUAUGGACCUUCGACCGUCGUCCUCACAAGUAGACUUGCCAUGCCUAGCGUGGUAGGAUGCUUAGGAUGGCUUGACCGUCGCGCUACACUAAUAUUGGACCUGUGACUGCUUGGAGGCCCUCCGCCCUAGUGUGGCCGACUCUUGGUGCCAGUUCCCUUCAGUUGUGUGGGCAUCAUGCUCGCGCCUCUGGCGAGUGCUUGCAUGCUGCUACCCGUUCUACGGGAAGUUGCAUUCGCUACGGGUUGCCUUCGUUGUGCCCACCCCCUGGGUGUGGCACUUUGGUUAUAGAGCACUUGCGGCGUCACCUCGUGGUACCUGCUACACCGGUCGGCACCACCAAGGUCAUCUCGCUUGUGCUCUUUGUCUCGGAUGGAGCUAUCGAUAUAGGGCGAGGCUGCUUCGGCACCUUGUUCCUUGCAAAUUCGGUACCUUCGGAAAAACGAAACCAACCCAGCCAACACCUCGUGCCGAAGCUAGCGACAGCUUGUCGAGGAGGACGUGCUAACCUGGUUGAUCCUGCCAGUAGUCAUAUGCUUGUCUCAAAGAUUAAGCCAUGCAUGUGCAAGUAUGAACUAACUCGAACUGUGAAACUGUCGUUUAAUGAUGUUUAAAAGUUGCAAGGGCCCCUCUGUAAAAACGUGUUCAAUCUUUUCUGAUUUAAAAUGAAUUAAAUGGCUGAAACUUUGUAAACGUGUAGAAAAUUGUAGAAAAAUGGUAAAAAUGUGAAAGAUGUCAUGCCCCUGCAAAAAGAACAAGUAGCUCAAUGGUUUGUGCGAUAAAUCCUAUCCUUGAGGUGCUCGUUUACCAAUUUGCACCGAAACAUUAUCUUAGCUCCCACAUGAUAUUAUCUAAAGGCAAAGAAGGUGACAUUGAACAUGAUACACCACGAGAUUUUACUGGAGAAUACAUUGAGAGGUACAGGAUAGGGUUUGUGUGGAAUGUGAUCGGUGCUUAUAAAUAUGACAUAGCAUCAGUACAUCACAACUGGUUGUAGACUGCAACCGACAAUUUUCUUAGACCCUUUGCAUUUUGUAAUAGUUAUAUUCCCUUUACUAAAGUUCUUAUUACAACCAGGUUUCAUAGUACCUAGUGGCAUCAAAACCAUUUAGCGCCACUAACUGGUUGUGAUGAUUGAUGUCACAAACGGUUCUUUGUGCGUAGCCAGUUUAUAGCUGUAAUUCAAUUGAACCUGUUCUAGUACCUUGAACAACUAGUUCUUGAUGAGUAGCCAGGAGUGACGUUCCAUUUGUAACUAUUUAUUCUCUAUUAGUCUAAUGUUGUGAUAAAUGAUUUGCGUUGUCAGUUUAUGCACUUUGGCAGCCUGGAUGUAUGUCUUUUGAAGUAUGUGUAACUUUCUCUAGAAUUGAGGAACUUUAAUUGACUAAGUGGUCUUGGAUUUACAGCAUCAACCACUAUAAUUAGCCAUUGCUCCAAUGGCCCAUUUUUUCCGUUAAUGCUAUAUGAUCCGACACCAAUAUGUGUACAAACAUAAGAGCAUCUGACGAGUAUCAUUUUACGGUGAAGACAUUGGAUCCCCACUCGCAGUAACACAUUUCAAAUGUGGAAAGCAGGACCGGGUCUCCCCCCUGCAAUAAAUGCCAUUUUAACUGGUCCUAUAAACUGUUUUCUAGUGGUGUGAUGUAGUCUGUUGGAAUCAGCACCGUGGAACCAUCUGACAUUCAUACAUUAGCUUCACCAAGCAAAUAUUCUUCUGUGCAUUAAAGCUUCAUACUUCAACAUGUACAAGUUCUCUAUGUAGGAUAUUUCAGCUAGAAGAUCUUCCCUUUCUUGAACUAGCCAUUUGAGCAUUAUUCAUUCUCAGGCCCAUUGUUCCAACGGCUUGCACGUUCUUGGAAUGUGUUAUCAUGGAAUGCUAGGGGUAUCGAUUCGUAGACAAGAUGGAAUGUCGUCAAGAGCAAAAUAUCUGAAUCCAACUGUGAUAUUGCCUGUUUACAAGACACCAAAAGGGAGUUUUUUGAUGCUAGAUAUAUUAGGAAUUUCUAUCCCCCACAGUUAGAUUCUUUCGAUUUCAUCCCAUCUAUUGGCAACUCAGGGAGAACUAUUAUAGUGUGGAAUGGUUCCAAAUUCAAGGGGGAACGUAUCUUUCAAAAUCUUUAUGCCCACUUUGUAGAUUUUCAGUGCAAGCUAUCAGGGGAACAUUGGAUCCUCACGAAUAUCUACGCCCCAUGUACUCCGGAGGGGAAGCUAUCCUUUAUUGACUGGUUCAAAAGGGUUGAAAUACCAGAGGAAAAAAAUUGGCUAAUAGUUGGGGACUUCAACCUUCUUAGGAAGCCGGAUGACAGAAACAAUCCAGGGGAAACAAUCCGGGAGGAAAUGUUCAGGAAAUGCUUCUCUUCAAUGAAGCUAUUAGCAGGCUUAGGCUCACAGAAAUUCAGCUCAAAGGAUGCAAGUACACUUGGUCCAACAAACAACAGAAUCCUCUUCUGGAGAGGCACGAUUGGUUCUUCAUAUCUAACCCUUGGACCAUCUCCUAUCCCAAUACUUAUGCCUCAUCGCUGUCCAGUGACUCCUCAUAUCAUGUUCCUUGUGUAGUCUCGAUCUCUAAUACCAUUCCAAGGCCACAAGUUUUUAGAUUUGAGAAUUAUUGGCUAGAACAUGAUCGGUUCCCAACCAUUCUCCAACAAGGUUGGGCAACUCCACUUCUAGGCACAGAUAGGGCAAAGAACAUUGGGGCCAAGUUCAAAAACCUGAGGAAGGUUUUCAGGAUCUAGAAAGCAUAGCUCCCCAGUCUGGCGAAAGCAAUCCAGAGCACCAAAGACACCAUUAAACUCCUUGACAUCAUCGAAGAACUUAGAGAUCUUACCCUGCAAGAAUGGAACUUUAGAGAAGUCAUCACAUCACAUCUGAAUAGCUUGCUCCACCAACAAAAAGUCUAUUGGCAGCAAAGAAGCUCCAUCAAUUGGGCCAAAAUGGGGGAUGAAUGUACAAAAUUCUGCCAUGCAAGGGCCUCAGUCAGAAAUAGAAUCAAUUAUAUCACUUCUUUAGUUGAUGCCAAUGGACAAAUUGUCUCUAAACAUGAAGCUAAAGCCAGGAUUCUUUGGGAAGCUUAUAAGGAAAGGAUGGGGAGAUUUGAAUUUACUCACAUGUACUUUGAUCUUUCUACUAUCUUGACAUCAGAUCCAAAUUUGGAAUGGCUAGAAUCUCCCUUUAUGAAAGCAGAGAUCGACACAAUUACAGGGGAACUUCCAAGUAACAAGUCCCAAGGCCUAGAUGGCUUGAAUGGAGAGUUUCUCAAGAGAUGUUGGGACUUGAUAGCUGAAGAUUUUUAUAGACUGUCUGAAGGUUUUCAUGACAUUAGUGUGUGUGUUCAGAGCAUGAAUGCUUCAUACAUCACACUAAUCCCCAAGAAAGAUUGUCCCUCUCAAGUGGGAGACUUCAGGCCAAUCUCCCUCCUAAACUCAACCAUCAAGCUAAUAACUAAAAUUCUAGCAGAAAGGCUACAACAGGUUAUGUUAAGACUAGUGCAUAAAAAACAGUAUGGUUUCAUAAAGUUUAGAUCCAUACAAGACUGUUUAGCAUGGGCUUUUGAAUAUCUUCACAUCUGUAAAGCCUCAAAGAGAGAAUUAAUCAUCAGCAAGCUAGACUUUGAAAAAGCCUUUGAUAGGAUUGAGCACCAAGCCAUUUUGGAUAUCUUAAAACAUAAGGGCUUUGGGGACAAAUGGAUUGGGUGGAUAAAGGACAUUCUCAACACUAGAACAUCUUCAGUACUCCUCAAUGGUGUACCAGGGAAAGUCUUUCAUUGCAGAAGAGGUGUCAGACAGGGGGAUCCUCUAUCCCCACUUCUAUUUGUGCUAGCAGCGGACCUUUUUCAGUCAAUCCUAAAUAAAGCCAAAGAGGAAGGAAGCUUACACCUACCGAUCCCUGAAAGAGCUGGACCUGACUUCCCAGUUAUACAAUAUGCAGAUGACACCCUUCUGGUCAUGGAAGCAGAUCCUUGCCUGUUGUUGCAUCUCAAGCAUCUGCUUAAUCAGUUUGCGGAGUCAACUGGUCUUAAAGUAAACUACAACAAGACUGUUAUGGUACCUCUGAACACUUCUGAGGAUAAACUCCGACAACUUUCGUCAAUGUUCGAUUGCCAUGUCGGAAGCUUGCCACUCACCUACUUGGGGCUACCACUUGGUGCAACAAAGCCUAACAUUGAGGAAUUCCUUCCAUUAAUACAGAAGGUGGAGCGAAGAUUGGGAGGCAUCUCUAACAUGUUAUCUCAAGGGGGCAAACUCGAACAGGUAAAUUCAGUCUUUUCUUCCUCACCAAUGUUUCAUAUGGCAACCUUAAAGCUUCUCAAGGGGGUUAUCACACAAUUAGAUAAAUAUAGGAAACACUAUCUCCGCAGAGGAUCUAAUUUGAAUUCUAGGAAACCCUCCAAGGCAGCUUGGCCUAUGGUGUGCCUACCAAAACAGCAAGGAGGACUUGGGGUUAUUAACCUGAACAGUCAAAAUGAUGCCCUUCUUCUCAUGUUCCUACACAAGUUCUUCACUAGAGCUGAUACUCCCUGGGUUCAUUUAUUCUAGGAUAACUAUUAUUCUAAUGGGAAACUGCCUGGACAGCACAAAAAGGGCUCAUUCUGGUGGAGAGAUUUAGUCAAGCUACUGGACAAAUACGAAGGAAUAGUGUCGGCAUGGGUAUCGGAUGGCUCUACUGUAUUGUUCUGCAUGGACACAUGGAUUGAGCAGGUCCUCUACCUGGAAUUCCCCCAGUUAUUCUCUUAUGACAAAAACAAACUGGUAUCAUAUAAGGAGGCUACAAGCAGAAUAUCACUGUCUCAAAAUUUUCACCUGCCACUUUCAGAAGAAGCUCAUCAGCAGUUGCUGAUUCUGCAGAAUAGAUUGAGGAAUACUGUGAGAGCUCAAGGCAGAGAUAAGUGGACUUACAUUUGGGGAAGGCCCCCGCUUUUCGGUAGCAAAAACUUAUAAAGUCAUAACGGGCACAAGAACCAUACAUCCAAUUCAUAGAUGGAUAUGGAAAUCUAAAUGCCAAAAGAAGCACAAGAUAUUUUUCUAGCUAUUAAUUAAAUUCAGACUGAGCACCAAAGACAUUCUAAGCAGAAAAACAAUGUAUUUGGAUACUUAUACUUGUGUGCUUUGCAUCCUCCAGGAAAAGGAGACAAUGCCGCACUUAUUCCUGAGAUGCAACUUCUCGAAAGCUUGUUGGAGCACUUCCUCCAGGCCACCCUUUCGGAUUUUUAACUCAAUCAAGGAUAAACUGAACGUUCCCUUCUACAUGGAGAUCAUCAUUUUAAUGGCCCGGAGCAUUUGGUCCGUGAGGAAUGACUGGACCUUUCAACAAUGUCCCCCCUCGGUACAGAGCUGCAAAAGGAAAUUCAUGGAAAAAAUGAAUACCGUCUGUCUACAUAGAGCGAAAUCUUCCCUAGCUCUUGCCAUGAUGGAAUGGUUGUAAUCUUUUCUUUCUUUUUUCUUCCUUUGUUGUUGCCUUUUCUACCUUCUACUUCUGUUGUUUCUUGGACUCGCCUUUCAUUUAAUAUAUUUCAGUAGGAGCUUGCCCCUCCUGUUCCUUCAAAAAAAAACUUCGAGCACUUCUCCAUGGGCUUCAUCACCAUAGUUUCGAUUUGGGCAAUUUUAUUGCACCGAACCUUCCAGCUUGCAUUUUCUUAACUGAAUCUCGAGCAUGGGGCAAUAUUCUGGCAUCUACAACGGACCUGCCAUCAAGCAUUCCAAUGUAUAGAUCUAUCCUUUUUGUUUGCCUAAUAUUCGGAUGCAAUACUCCGCCGUGUGUAAAAAAAUCCAAGGCCAACGGACCAUACCGUGUUAACAAUUUUAGUGCCUAAUCCAAUACAAAAUUAGUCCCAGUUUGUACGGCUACUCAUUCAUUGCAGUCUUCAGACGAACUCUACGGUGACACAUUUUUGGAAUACUCUGGCAUGUGCAACUGACCUGCCAUCAAGCACUCCGAUGCAUGGUUCUAUCCUCUUUGGUUGCCUUAUAUUCUGUAAAAAAAAAUAUUCAAGGCCAACAGACCAUACCGUGUUAAAAAUUUUAGUGCCCAAUCCAAUACAAAAUCAGUUCCAGCACCUCCACAGUGAUUAUAUUGUAAUUCAAUCACCAAAAUCCGAAACUAUGGUCUAGUGAAGCUAUACUGUGUACGAAAUAUCAAUUCAUGGGAUUUGUCAACGAUUUUAUGAAGCUGUAUAUAUGAUACCUUCCACUACGGGAUUUGUGUACAAAAUAUUAAUUCAUGAGAUUUGUCCAUGAUUUUAGGAAGCUACAAUAUCUUCAACUACCGGAUUGCGUAUAUAAGAUAAUCUUCACCAGUUAUCACAGGUGGAAGCACGCGUUAAAUAAUAAAUGACUAAUGCUGAUUCAACUCUGAGAUGAAAAGGAUUCUGUUCUCAAGAAUCGAAAAAAAGGUAACGUGCUCAUAACAAUGUCGACUCUUCACAUCUGAGAAGCUAGCUCCGUGAUGCUUAUCUGGCUAGUGAACUACCUACCGUAUGUUAUUAAAACAUUUUUGCUGCCUAUAAAUUGGGCAUCAUUUCAGCAGGCCACCACGGCACCUGAGCUUGCCAUCUUUUCCUGCUCUAUCUCACUCAUUUGUCCCGUAGCUACUAGCUAAGCCACCAUAUCAUCCAUGGCUUCUGGUGCCUCCACCACGCUGAAGAUGGCCUCUAUCGCCGCUUGCAUCCUGCUGGUCCUGCUGUCCAAUGGCCACCCUACCGCGGCGGCCGUUGAUUGUAUUGCGGCUUGCAAAGAACCGUGCCAGGGUUUUUCUAACGGGCUCUGCGCGGGUGGAGCCACCAGCGGUUGUACGACUACGGCAGCAGCUACAGCAUGCCGCAAUUUGGCGUUCUCGCAGUGUGCGAACACCUGCUUCACAGUUUGCACUGCUGUGAGCAUCGCGCCUUGCACUUGAAGAUGCAUUCGUGUUCCUACUUCCACAUUAUUGUUACUGCAGAAUAAUAUGGGUCAGUGCACACAAGCAUACAUGAUGAGCCACUGUCGUUUUUCCAUUUUGUCAUUUAUUUAUUGAAGGCAAUGUACGUUUUUCCAUUUGAUCAUUUACUUAUUGAAGGCAAUGUACGUGUCUAUCUCCUGUGUGGUUGAGCAUGUCAUCUUGGAAUUCUGUCCAAAGUUUUACAUACCACCUUGUAUUGUUGUGUGUGGGUAUCAAUAUAAUUUAUGAACUAUCUUCCUUUACCAUAGACAUAUCUAUGUUUAUUUGCAAGCGUUAGCUAAAUUUUUCCUUGAUUGUGUAU